rnacentral:rRNA from 1 species
CACUCCUACGGGAGGCAGCAGUGGGGAAUUUUGGACAAUGGGCGAAAGCCUGAUCCAGCAAUGCCGCGUGAGUGAAGAAGGCCUUCGGGUUGUAAAGCUCUUUUGUCAGGGAAGAAACGGUGAAAGCUAAUAUCUUUUGCUAAUGACGGUACCUGAAGAAUAAGCACCGGCUAACUACGUGCCAGCAGCCGCGGUAAUACGUAGGGUGCAAGCGUUAAUCGGAAUUACUGGGCGUAAAGCGUGCGCAGGCGGUUUUGUAAGUCUGAUGUGAAAUCCCCGGGCUCAACCUGGGAAUUGCAUUGGAGACUGCAAGGCUAGAAUCUGGCAGAGGGGGGUAGAAUUCCACGUGUAGCAGUGAAAUGCGUAGAUAUGUGGAGGAACACCGAUGGCGAAGGCAGCCCCCUGGGUCAAGAUUGACGCUCAUGCACGAAAGCGUGGGGAGCAAACAGGAUUAGAUACCCGAGUAGUCCCAUGA